AAUCGUAUUUAAAUCAUGUGUUUGAAUAAUUUCCUUUACCAGCCUCCAUGUGACGCAUUGUUUGUACCCCACUGCGCACUAUAGCUUACAAGGAAAGUAAGGCAUUUUGUGGGUAAAUUGCACUAUAUGAGUGAAGUGAACCCUACAAAGACUCCUCACCCCCUCUCUAUAAAGCUGGUAGACAAAUUAUGUGGUAGAGUGGUCCACGAGGGACUCUGUAUGGGCAUUGGUCAUUUCUGGCCUCCUCCUUUACCCUUCUCUCUCUCUCUCUCUCUCUCUCUCAAAGACACACACAAACAGAAGCUAUUAUAUCUUCUAUACAAGAAACACAUGAGGGAUGCCAAAGAAAAUCGAAAUGAGAUCUGAGUUGAAAGUGAGUGAAAUUUUGUGGAAGUCCUGGUCAUGCUUUUCCACAGCUUUCUUGAACUUCUUUUUCUGCUUAAUCUCUAUGAUUAACAGUAGUACCCCUGGAAGCUCAAGAAAGCUGUGGGAGAACAUGGCAAUUCAGGAUUUUGCUGGUGUUUUCCUUCACAUUAUAUUUCUGUUCAAGAUCUAGUACUUGGCUUUAUCCUGCAAUUCGAUGCGUCCUUGGCCAUCCUUUCGUCUGCAUGGAUUAUGGUAAUACUCGAAAUUCUCUGAUAAGUCAAAUACAUUCCAAUCACGGUAUUUUUCUUUGAUUGUUUCGUAUAUUUCACACUAACUCUUACAUUUUUCUGAGGGAAAAAAGGAUUUUGAAGCUGAAAUACAAUGUGGGUUUUUAUCUUCCUUAUAUAUAAGCUUCUUAACAGAAUUAAUUUGCAGCAACAUAAGGGGAUUAAUGGUUUAUUCCUUCUACCCAUGGAGAGAAGAAGAAAUUGAUCACGAAUUCAAGUUUAUUCUUUUAUUCGUUACUUUUUGUCAAAUCUACUGCUACACGUUUGAACCGUGCAUGAAAGAGGGCAGCUUUGGUGGAAAUUAUUUAUAUUGCUCAAGUUGUAAUAUACAAGAAGAGAAGAUUCCCUAGCUUUCCCUUUUAGCUCCAAUGAUGAUAGUUCCUCCUGUUGGCCUUUUGGUUUUGCCUCCACAUCUUCUCCUAAAUUUCUGUGAAGAAAGGUAACACUUUGUCACUAAGUGACAUCAUUUUUUUUUACCACUCCCUCUGAUUGAUCCGACUUUCAUUUUUUUUUUACCCCUCCCCACCUUUUCUCUUUACAGGAACUGUUGGUCUUAUAUAUGGAAUACAAAACAACGUAGUAGGUCAUAGAAUCGGGCCGUAACUGCGUCUCCAAGUGUAGUACUACAGAGCUAGCUAGCUAGAAUUUAUGUUUCCCUUGAUUUCUUUUUUUUUUUUUUUUUUUUUGUUUUUUUUUUGUUUUUUUGGUUUUUUGACCAGUAAUCCUGAGAUGUUAAAGGGUUGGAAUGUUUUCUAGGAUCUCGAACAAAACACCAAACCCACUAAUUACCACCCUCAGCAACAGCUAGUCAAGAGUCAAGAGUCAAGAGAGACUAAUCUGCAGCUUCCCUGUAUAUAUAUAGUCAGCAACAUCGGAAUAUCAUUACAGACAGAGAAAGUGACAAGAAUUUCUAGCUGCUUCUCUUACUGUAUGUAAUAGAUCUCAAGUAGAUCCAUGUUGUUAUUAUCAUGGCCAAUAUGAAAAUAUAUAACAGGAUUCAUGAUGCGAA